rnacentral:lncRNA from 1 species
GUGUAUCACACUAUGUACCAAGACCUCACCACACUAGUGUGCUAUUUCCUACUGCUACCAGAACAUAUAACUGCAAACUUAGGGCCUUAAGACAGCACCCAUUUAUUAUCUCACAGUUUUGCAGGUCAGAAGUCCAGUAGGCUCGGCUGGUUUCUUUCCUUCUGGUAUCACAAGGCCAAAAUCGAGGUGUCGACUGGGCUCCUUUGCCUUCUGGAGGCUGGAGGGGAGAAGCCAUUUCCAGAAUCUUUCAGGUGGUUGGCAGAAUUCAGUAUCUAUAGGACAGAAAUACACAUUUCCUUGCUGGCUGACACAUAAGGGGUCUCCUUAGCAUCUAGAGGCUCUUUUGGGUCACUGUGCACAGUUGCAUGUAGUCUCAAAACAUGUCAGUACUAGCAAGAGUACACAAAAUCCUUUUGUUGUAUUCCAUCUGCCUCUCCUUCUUCUGCCACUUUUCUAUGACUGACUCUUCUGCCUUCCUCGUCUACUUUUAAGUGCUCAAGUGAUUAGACUGGGCCCCUCAGUAAUCCAGGAUAAUCUCCCUAUUUUAAGAUCUGUAACCUUAAUCACACCCGAAAAGUCUCUUUUGCUAUGUCAAGUAACAUAUUCGCAUAUUCCCAGGGACUAGGGCUUGAAAACCUUUGGGAGGCAUUAUUCCUUUCAUAUUUAUGUCCCUCAAUCCUCAUAACAGCCCAGUAAGGGAAGUGUUAUGCAUGUGAAGAAAGUGAAGUUCAGAGAGGUUUAUAUCACAAGUAAUAGAUGGUAGAGCUGGAGUUUGAACCUUGCUUCAGAGCUCACACCCCUUCCUCUGCUAGAGAGAAGGACUAGUGGGAGCAAAGCAAUUGUAUCACCUGUCACUCACCGCAGUUCCCACUAUUGUUUCCCUAGUGCUGCUUCUCAACUUAUUGAGGUCAUCACCACUGUGUCCACCCAAUUUCCGAUUCUCCUCCUACCUCCCCACUAUGGGUUCCACUGGACAUCAGGAAAAAGCAGAGGGACAAGUUUUCCAGAAGAAAAAGAAUGAAUGCUAGAGCACAUGGGUAUCCUUUGAAAUGAGCUGCAGAGGAGCUGUGUUCAUUUCAGGCUCACAGUCUUGUCACCAGUUUCAGAAGAAUUCUGCACCUGCAGCAGCCAGGAAUAUCUGCUGAGGAACCUUUGUCCUCUACCUAAACCAGGAC